rnacentral:rRNA from 1 species
UGGGGAAUAUUGCACAAUGGGCGCAAGCCUGAUGCAGCCAUGCCGCGUGUGUGAAGAAGGCCUUCGGGUUGUAAAGCACUUUCAGCGAGGAGGAAGGGUUCAGUGUUAAUAGCACUGUUCAUUGACGUUACUCGCAGAAGAAGCACCGGCUAACUCCGUGCCAGCAGCCGCGGUAAUACGGAGGGUGCAAGCGUUAAUCGGAAUUACUGGGCGUAAAGCGCACGCAGGCGGUUUGUUAAGUCAGAUGUGAAAUCCCCGCGCUUAACGUGGGAACUGCAUUUGAAACUGGCAAGCUAGAGUCUUGUAGAGGGGGGUGAGAAUUCCAGGUGUAGCGGUGAAAUGCGUAGAGAUCUGGAGGAAUACCGGUGGCGAAGGCGGCCCCCUGGACAAAGACUGACGCUCAGGUGCGAAAGCGUGGGGAGCAAAACAGGAUUAGAUACCCUGGUAGUCCACGCUGUAAACGAUGUCGACUUGGAGGUUGUGCCCUUGAGGCGUGGCUUCCGGAGCUAACGCGUUAAGUCGACCGCCUGGGGGAGUACGGCCGCAAGGUUGAAAC